rnacentral:rRNA from 1 species
UACGUAGGGAGCAAGCGUUGUCCGGAAUCAUUGGGCGUAAAGCGCGCGUAGGUGGCCAUGUAAGUCCGCUGUGAAAGUCAAAGGCUCAACCUUUGAAAGCCGGUGGAUACUGCAUGGCUAGAGUACGGAAGAGGCGAGUGGAGUUCCUGGUGUAGCGGUGGAAUGCGCAGAUAUCAGGAGGAACACCAAUAGCGAAGGCAGCUCGCUGGGACGUUACUGACACUGAGGCGCGAAAGCGUGGGGAGCGAACAGG